rnacentral:rRNA from 1 species
UACGAAGGGGGCUAGCGUUGCUCGGAAUCACUGGGCGUAAAGGGCGCGUAGGCGGCCAUUCAAGUCAGAGGUGAAAGCCCAAGGCUCAACCUUGGAACUGCCUUUGAUACUGUUUUGGCUUGAGACCGGUAGAGGUAAGUGGAACUGCGAGUGUAGAGGUGAAAAUUCGUAGAUAUUCGCAAGAACACCAGUGGCGAAGGCGGCUUACUGGACCGGUUCUGACGCUGAGGCGCGAAAGCGUGGGGAGCAAACAGG